rnacentral:lncRNA from 1 species
GCCGCGUUGUUGUUAGCUGCCUCGCGCACAGUGUGCGCGGCCGCCUUCUUCUCCGCCUUGGCGCUCGCUGACAACAUCCGACGCACUGUGGAUAUGAUACACGCACACAGCAACGUGAGUUGCAAUGCGAGAGCGCGGCUUCGGGAAGAUCGACACGAAAAUGCCGGUUCGACGCCGGUUCGCCACUCGCACGCCGAAACCCGCAACAAAGCUUCCAUGAUGUAUAAAUUCAGGAACUUUAUCAUAUGGCAAACUGCUGGCUGGAGAGGAGCGCUCUCAGCAAAUGUUUCUGCGCUCGGUCGGGCCUCGCCCAACUGCCAGGUCGCCGGGCCCCGGCUAGCGCUACAAGCCGCACGAGCCCCGACGCCACUCAC